UUGAGUCCUUGUUGCCUAUAUAUAGUGCCACCAACAUCACUUAAUUAUUUCCAACGAUCUCUCUAGAAUAUUCAUACUCUCUUUCUCUCUCUCAAAAAAUGAAGCUCUCUAACCGUGUUUUUUCAGCCCUUCUCCUGAUCUUUUUAAUCGUUUUUGCUGCCACUACAGAGAUGGGUUUGGCGGAAAGAAUAUGCAAGACACGGAGCGAAAGUUUCUCAGGUGUGUGCAUAGGCACUAACAAUUGUGCCAUCAUCUGCCAAGUAGUUGAAAAAUUUGAAGACGGUCAAUGCGAAUUAGACGGAUUCUUGCCUGGUUGUUUUUGCACCAAAGCCUGUUAAAGACCAUCAUAAUAUUAUCAAGAACCAAUUGUAUUUCAGACUUCUCUCUUUAAUAAUUGCUAUCUUGAAUUACAUACACUCUUUGUUAAA